rnacentral:rRNA from 1 species
AAUGUCAAUACUCCAAUGAUGCCGUCCAAGUUCUCCCACCUCAAGAAGUUGAAAAUUGACAUCCUAAGAUCAUUCAUCAUCUUUGAUGUCUUGUCACUGGUUUCUUUUCUCGAUGCUUCUCCGGCCUUGGAUUCUUUUACCCUACAUGUAGGUCAGGAUACCUUGAGACCUGAUGAUUUUGUUGUUGGAGGUGAUAAUUCUAAUUACAAGAGGUGGCAACCACAGCGCCGGCAUGAUAGCCUUAGAGAGGUGACAAUCACAGGCUUUUGUUCAUCAAAGAAGCUCGUUCAGUUUGUGAUCUAUAUCCUUGAGGGCAGUCCCCGGCUUGACUGCCUCACACUAGACACAACCCCUGGGCCUCGCUAUACUACGAAGUGUGGUAUCAUUAGAAAGCACACCUCCUCAAAAAAGAUGGGUAUAUACUGCCCGAUGAUGACCGAGAGUAAUAUAGCGGAGGCUCAGAGAGCUGUCAAGGUUGUGAACACAUACAUCGCAGGGAGAGUUCCCUCGGGUGUUGGAUUCCAGGUCCUGCAGCCCUGCAGUGAAUGCAAC